ACACACUCUGGUUACCUAAUGUUUUUAAUACAGGCAUAGCAAGCAAGCCAAUUCCUGGCAAAAUCAUAUUUGGCACGGGCCAUUUGUUUGAGAUAAUUUUUGCAGCCUGGACUACCAUUUUAUAUGUUCUUGAUCCCAAUACCCUUCUUUAUGAAAGAUCUUAGCCCAAAGAUCCAGGGCUCACAAGUACAAGGUUUGGCUCAUUCUAUGUCUAUUUUGAUUUCUUCACCUUUUGAACAAUAACUCUCCACAGUAUGUUUGGCUGGACCAUCAUUCAUGAUCCCAGCUUGGGAAGGAAACAGCCUCUUGAAAAUUCUGAUAUAUUUAGACCUGGUUGAUACGUAAUGGCAGCAUUUGGCAGCAAAUCAUGGGUUAAUUAACCAAUUGUGAGAACGUGUACUGCAUGCAAGUCCCUUCUAGUGUGCAGUAACAACCUAUGAACACCCUGUUUGUAUGUUGUGACCUCCGAACCCAGACCCUUUGGGUUGUUUGUGAGUAAAACAACACAAAGCUAAUUUAAGAUUUGUUCUUUAAUUAAUUAAACCAUGAUUUUUCACCUAAUGCUGCCUUUACAUGCAAACUGCCCCUUAAUCUCUGCAGAUACAAUCUACAAAUGGAAUGAUGGUUUUUAUUAAUUGUACCGCUUACUUUUCUUCCCUUUAUUUUUCCUUCAUCAAGGAGACCAGAAUUAUUUGCCCUUGUAGCCUAUCUCAAAAAGUCAGGUAGGUAAUCAAAUAUCUUUGAAAAUCACAUUAAAAUAAGGCAUAACAAAUAGUACACCAGAAGCAGCUUGACUCUGGUUGCCAAAAACAAGCCCUUAUUUAUUUAUUUUUUUAAAAAGCUCUUAAAAUGCUUUCAAAAGAUGUUCAGAUUUGACUCUUGCAAGAUUUUAGGAGAAAUGAUUCUCCAGUUGGGAAGAAGGACACAGCCCCAAAGUAUACCUCUCUCUUCAUGGUCUUGUAAGUCCAAGCUAAUGGUAUAUGGAUCAUAACUUUAAAAAGUACACUUGCUUGGCCUUCACUCAUAAUGGGACACAAUAAGCUAAGGCAGAUAGUGAGAUACCUUCUAUAAAGGAAGCUCCUCUCUGGGUGGGUAGAGGGCAUUGAGGAGGAAGCGAGGAAAUCCAAAGGAUUAUUGAUUUAUCAAAUAGACAUUUUAGUGAUACCUUCUGGAUUCCUUUCGUCUCUUGCAUGAUGCCCUUAACUGGUAAAGCCCUCCUACAGCCUUGCAACGCCAGUAAUAAAACCAGAGUGCCACUGGUAUCACUUAACCCUCUAGCAUUUAGGGUUUCAAUACAAGUCCAUAGAAUUCGAUGUUAAAGUAAAAUCCUGGCCAUUGGCCUUUGAGGACCUCUUUCAAAGUACAGUCCCAAUGCUGCUAUUUUACCCCUACACUAGAUGUCCAAACAGCUUUUGUUGCUUGCAUUUAACAAAGCACUUUAGUCCGCUACAUCAAAUAAUAUUGUACCAUACGUGUCUACCCUAUUUGCAAUCUUUUUUUAAAGUCUCAAAUCCAAACAGGAUGAAACUGUUCCGGUGCCUAAAGAUCAAUGUAUGAUCCUUCCGCUUGACCGUAUUUGCAUUGCUUGUUUUUGUUUCAGUGACUGUCUACAACACAAUUCUUAAGUAAGAUGUAGAUGGCUUAUAUGCAGCAUUGAUUUUCAGCCUUGUGCUGUAACUUUCAUUGUUCUUGAGAAGAAUGUAGAAUGGGGGGGGGGAGUGGAGGUAUGGCUUUACAGGUAAUGGAAUGUAAUAGGACUCUUUACCUGUAAUGGUGAGAUGCGCUCCAAUUUUCUUUUAAAAGUAAAGUUGGUUUCCAUGUGAAGAUACGGAAUGUUUAUGUUGUGCCUGGCCAAUAUUUUCGAUUUCCAAAUAAAGAUUUGGUUUAAUGACAGACCCUGCAAAGAAUGGAGAUUGUAUUGCUCAAAAUGAUACCAGUUUGUCCUACUUCCAGAAGAUUUUGAAUGAGUUUUUAAAACCUCACCUGUUUAUAGCUCUUUCCAUCAUGCUGAACAGGCAUUUCACUGAUAAAUCAGGCUCUUAGAAUAUUGAUUAUUUGGUGCACACAAAGGCUAGUAGACAGUGGUUAUUACAGGAAAUGUUUUCUGCACCUUCCAGUAAUUCCUGUGGUCUUGAUGCCUUCAUACUUGCAAACUAUGCAAAUAUAUAAAUAGGUGGGUAGGUUUUAAAAUAACAAUUUGGGAAUUUAAUUUCAUAUAUAAAUGUAAUAAAUAAAGUGGUACAUACCUGAACCCUUCUAAAUGCUUGAACUCUCUCUCUUUCUCUCUCUCUCUGAAUUUGUCCCCAAAAUUGCUCUUUUGAGAGCAGGGCCAGCCCUACCAUUAGGCAGGGUAAGGCAGCCGCCUCAGGUGGCAGAGGCUGGAAAGCAGCAGCAAGGUGUUAAAGAAGAGAGCUGGGUGCCCUAUAGCCUGCUCUCCGCCCCCUAAGUUAGCCUGCUGCCUUCAGGCUCAGCAGAGAACGUUAUCACAUUAUCAGUGUUGAAGUCAGCUUAAUCUGCCAGGAGUGUCAAAUCCAAGGAGAUUUUGGGGGAAGGGGGCAUCUGUGAACACAGUUCAAAAAAAGAACUCUUCCCCCCCCCCCUCCAUGGGGCACGCAACCCUUUAAUGGAUUACAGCCUUAAUUAGCUACAAAUCAUGUGUGUUUUUCUUUCUUUCUUUCAUGGAAUGGAAAAGAAACUUUAAAAACAACCCCGAGUCACGAAAUUAGUCCUUGUCUUGGAAGUACAGUUGCCUCCUUCUCUCUCCUCACCUCCACUCCUUUGCUAUAAAGGUGAGGAGCUUCUGGAUGUUAGCAAGCUAUCUUGAUUGUUUGGGCAUGGAAGAGUCAGAACAUGUAAAUUCAGCCUUGCCUAGUGUGAAGUAGGGGUUUGGUGCUUCUUUGAAACACCCAUAUGUGAAAACCCAUCGUUUGCCAUAGGGUUCAUGUGUCCUUCAGCAUGAAAGUGAGAGUAGUAAUGGGCAGAUCAGAAUAGACAAUAAAUAAAUUGACAGCAUAUAAAUGUCUACCAGCUUUCACAAUUAACUGUGUUUAAUACUUUUUCACUGUUAUCAAUCCAAAAAUAGUUAUUAAAGCCAAUAAAUCUGGGAUUUCAGUUUAUUUAAAAUAAUAACUUGGUGCUUGGUGCAUCUUUCGUCUGUGCACCGCUUUACAAAUAUCAGUCAAGCCUCAAAAUAAGGAUUGCUUUAUUUAUGUAGAAACUGAAAUUGAAUGUUACACGGAGGAAAAGUCAGUGUUGGUGCUAUAUAGGAUACACGGGCUCUUACCUCCUUGUGCUAUUUUCAGGCCACAGAAGCAUACUUUUUGAUCUCUAUCCCAUAAAGAAGGGGACAAGGAACCCACUUUACAGAUUGUAAAGUCUAUAACUGACAUAUCAGCCGUCAUGCUUUGGGAACAUAUUUGUAAUGUGAUAACUCAAAUGUCCAUGUAAUAAUGUCCCUUAACUCUUUGGAACUGAUUAGAUUAAUGGAAAAUUUAAAGUGCAUAUUCUCAUGUGUGCCCAGUAAUACAGAUAACCUGUGUCUUGGUUUUAUAAAAUCUUCUGAUACAGCAAUUUCUGUUUCUUGUUUUAGAGGAUUAAGUUUUUAAGGGCUUUAUUGGAUAAGGCAAAGUUUAAAAAUAUUUUUAAGUGCAUGACUUAAUUCUGGCUCUGUCAACUUUUGCACUGUGAAUAUUUUAAUUAACGUAUUUUAAACACAAAAUGUUGAGGGCUUAAUACUUCCUGCCUUUUAACCCAAGGGUCACUUCUACCAUUACGUUCUUGCUUCCAUGGCAUAGCUCUUGAAAUGUAUUCUUGAGGGAUGUGUAUAUGGAAUCCAUAUAGUCAUUUUGUGAGACUCGGUCACCUGCUGAACUUGAUCAUAAAUUAUUUGUGUGAACUGCUGAGUUUGAGGUUGCAGUCUCCACUGAUAAAGGAAAAAAGCUGACCCUUUCUGAUAAAAUGUUUUUCAUGUAUGCAUCCCUGAGAAUCACUUCUUUUAAGCAGCCAUCCUUUGGAUGUAAAAUAUUAUGCUGGAACUGAUCCCUAGUCUUUGUUGAGACCAGUGCUAGGUGGAAGAAAGUGUGUGUAUGGAUGCAGUUCAGGGCAUCCUUUAUUGUUUUGAAGCGGUGAUACAUCACAAAUGGGAUCUGGUUAAUCCUAAAUUAUCCUGUAGCGUAUUGGCAAGACUAUGUAGCUUUUUGUCUUCCACCAUGAUAGUUGCCCUGAUCCUAAAUAUUUGGUUGCAGUUCUGACACAAUGUUGAGUUUAAAUUGCUGCAACAGCUAUUGGUACACCCUAUUCCAAGCACUGAUUUGUGAGGUGUAUCAAAGCUUAGGAUCAGGCAGUAAGUGUCUGUAUUAAUUCCUUAGGGUUUACAUGAAUACUUCACAUUUUGUAGACAUGCAGCUUGAACAAGAAUCCCAGGUCUACAGUCCCAUAAUGCGUUUGAACCUAAGAUCUGGAUUCCACCCCCACUUGCCCUCCACAAUGCUGAUUAGAUUCAUCCACCCAUUAAGGAACUUGAAUGGUCGUUUUUGUCCUUGAGAACAAAACAGUUGCCACUUCUGGCUGUGAGCUGCUCAGUAAACUGGGUUUUUGAGAUAAGCCGCCAUCAUCCUGUAGGAGCUCAUUGGCUGAAGAAUGUAUUCUGAGCUUUAAAUGGAGCUGUUGCUUAUGAGCAAAACAUUUUCCAUUUAUGACCCCUUUCAAUGGCAGAGAGUUACAUUUUGGGUACUUACAGAAUGUGUGUGUGGGGGGGGAAUCAUGCUUCAGUUGAGGCACUGAAUCAUCCAUAUAGUAUUAUUUUCCAGGUAGCUCUCUAAGAAUGUAAAUCUUCUGCAUUUUGUAUGAGUAUAAGAAAAGGUGUUUUUUUCCCCCCACUGUGAUCCAAAAGCUCCAAUGGUUUAGGGAUAAAUAAGGGAUGUUUGAGGCAUCCCAUGUUGAAUUAUGGACUAUUAAUCCAUUAUUCUUUAGGACAAGUAGGAUAACCUUUUAACAUCCAUAAAAUGCCAUUAAUUGAAUGAGCUGGGGAAAAUGGGCAUCCUUUUCCAAGAAGAAAUAUCUGUUAAAUACAUCAGUAAUCAUGAACUGUGUACAAAUCAGUCUGUAUAAAACUUGUGAUUUCUUUUUAUUUCAUAUUCUUUGGUAAAAGGUACAUUGGUUGUGUUCAGUUUUCUGAUCCAGAAACAAAGACCAAAGAAGGCCAACCUCAUUUGAUUGUGUAUAUUCUGCCUGUCUUAAUUAUUGAUAGCUAUAAAGGAUACAGUGCAAGUAAGUGAAUUGGUAAUCAAUGGUUUUUGUAUGUUUUUUUUAAGGAAAGGAAACUUUAAAGUGUAUAAUUUAUUUCUCAGCAAUACCAUGUUGUUAAUAACGAUUAGCAACGUGUCCUAAUUUCCCAAUAGCAUUAUUAUAUGUUGUCCUUCAGUUCGUUGUAUUGUUAUUUGGUAUUUAUUUGUGUUUGAAGGUCUUGCUAUGUCUUGUGUUUUGAUGCUAAUAAAUGAGAACAGUGUGUAGAAUGCAAAACUUUGAAAUGCUGAACUGUAUUAAAGGAAAAAAAAUAAACCUAAGUAGGAAGUCAUAUUUUUUAAUAAA